AUUGUUCCCACGCGUCUGCAUGAAUAAGAGAUGUGCUACUUCUAAUCAACUUUUAUUCAUUUAUCAUAAAUCUAUGAUUAUGUGCAUGUUGGGCAAUUUCCAUCAAUGUCGGGAAAAUUUUUGUCCGGCACCCUAAAUCUUUUCCGCCGGUAUGCUUAUAGGUUUUUUUCACGGUCGUUACACUGAACACUGUUGUGAAGUAAACCUUUUCAAUUCUUUAAAUCACGCCAAAAAAUAAUAUUAAAAUAUUAACGUCAAACCUCAAUACUCGGGGAAACAGAAUAUCCCAUGCACCUUGGAAAUUGAAACUCGCAAUUAUGGGUGCACGAAAUUAUCGUGCGCCAUCGCGGAUACGUAGACAAAUUUCCAACCUGUCUGUGUACUGUCAAUUGAAAAUCGUAUUUGGAUAUGACUAUUUAAAUACAAGAAGAUGCACUUUGGACAAAAGUCAUCUGCAUGUUUUUUCCACAUUGAACUCGAAAACAUACUAUUAUCAUAUACUAUUUCUUUAAUUGGAAUUUGGAGAUUUGGCAACAGAAAUGCAGACAAACAGUUAAUUUUUCGCAUUAUCUUUUGCAAUAAAGGCCAAUGUUAUAUCUCCAUAUCAGAAUAUGGCCGCAUACGGCAGCACUUCCCCUUGCGAUAUUGCUUUUUAGUCUAAUCAGCUUAUCACUAAAGCUAAAGCAACAGAGUCAAGAUAUACGCCAAAAACGCUUUACUAUCUUCAUUCCCUGACGACGCAAAAUUGAGUUUCUCCAGAAAAAUAUCAAACAAUUGAAUGUAGAGUUCAUAGAGAGAAACGAAGCACACCACAAGUUCUGUAACAAAACUCGUCUAUCGUACAAAGGCGUUUCUGAUAGAAAACGGAGACUAGAAUAUAUAAUCUGAGGACAGGAGCAGACGACAUAACAGGCAACUACCAAGGAGCAUGUUGAAAUUCUUUUGAAAUUUACUUUGUGUCUUUUCCUUUUCUGAUCACCUGACGUAGAUGUAGUUGGAGCAAUCCUUUCCGGCUUGCGUUUCGACUUCGCGAUAGUAAACAUUCUAUAGUUAAAAUAAGUUACCAAGAACACGAAAAUUGACAUAAAAAAUGCUAAGAGAAUAUUUCCCAGUGUUCUCUUGUAAUACAUUAAUAGGGAUAGGCCGACUGAUAAAAUCAUCAAAAUUAUCAAAACAAAUAGAAGCUUAUUCUUAGUAACUGAUGUUCGAUGGAAAAUUGGAUACGUUAACCCCAAGAAACGUUCAACAUUCAGCAUCAAGAGCGCGAGCAUUGAAAAACCGUGUAGCAAGAGGGAUGUGUGUAUCCUUAUAUGUUUAUGUAGUUCAUCGUCGACUUCUAGAGCCCAGGAAAUUGUUGAUAAUACUAACAAGGGAUGAAUGAUGGUGACAACAGCUAGAUCAAAAGCAGAUAAAACAAGGAUCAUAAAGUAGCAUAAUUUCUUUCGAAGUUGUGACUGAUUUCGUAGACUGAUUAUAACCACGGAAUUCAGGAAUAUCCCUGCAAUCAUGAAGGAAACAUUUACAAGGCACAAAAAUAGUGCGUUAAUGGUGGUAUUUGGAUGCAUUUAUUAACUGAUCUAUUAUAUAACUUGCAAACUCGGCUUUCUGGUUUCACGAGAACUUGCUGAUUUUCCUUUUAAAUGUUGUCUGCAUGUCGAAAAUUGCAUGAAUGUAAAAAUAAACUAAAUAGAGAACGUUUCAUAUAUAAUAUACACCUGCCGCCUGCAGAACUAUGUCCAUAAUUUUGUCAUUUUCAACGGUCACGUGCGGUAUUUGUUUGAUUUAGGGACGGACAAUUAGAAAAGUGAUGCGGGGGCGGGGGGCAAAACCAAAAAAAAAUUAUUCCCAGAAAAAAAUUAGGAAAAAAAAAUCUUCCCAGCAGGCAUAGUGCAAAAAAAAAUUCCUAGCUUGGAAGAUAGGCCUAUAAAUUUCACUUAAAAAAAAUUUCCAGUCAUCAAGUGAGAAAAAAAUUUCUUCUAUAGGUGUGCAAAAAAAAUAUAUUGCCUCUUAGAAAAUCCCCCCCCCCCCUCAUCACUUUUCUAAUGGUCCGUCCCUUAGAGCAUGCGUAUCUCACAACGACUCACAGUCACAGUGAGCCGAGGAGUGAUAUAUUGUUUAUGUUAAAUUUCAAACGUGAACUUCUACAUAUAACUAUAGCAAAGUGUCUUAUACCGACGACGUUACGAUCGUAAACCAAACAACGAAUGCGAAUCGGCUAUCUUUAAAAUAGGGAACGGGAAUGGGGAAAUGCGAGAAUAUAGGUUAGCCUAAUGAAUUUUUCUUUAAAUUUCUAGCCAAAGGCAAAGAAAGAUUUAAAUACGUGUUGAAAAGAAAUCCACUGUAUUGCAAUUAUUUAGAUAAAAGUGUUGGCGUGCACGGACUUCAGUUAUUAAUAAUAAUAUUAUUCCAAUAUUUAGCAUAUUUACAAUUAUUGAGG
rnacentral:lncRNA from 1 species